UACGGAGGGUGCGAGCGUUGUCCGGAAUCACUGGGCGUAAAGGGCGCGUAGGCGGCUGGGGAAGUCGGCGGUGAAAGCCCGGAGCUCAACUCCGGGUCGGCCGUCGAGACUCCUCGGCUCGAGCUCACUAGAGGCAGAUGGAAUUCCGGGUGUAGCGGUGGAAUGCGUAGAGAUCCGGAAGAACACCGGUGGCGAAGGCGGCUCUCUGGAACGGUACUGACGCUGAGACGCGAAAGCGUGGGGAGCGAACAGG
rnacentral:rRNA from 1 species